GGGCCUCUAGCUCAGUUGGUAGAGCAGCGGACUUUUAAUCCGCGGGUCGUGGGUUCGAUCCCCACGGGGCUCA
rnacentral:tRNA from 1 species